rnacentral:rRNA from 1 species
UACGUAGGGGGCAAGCGUUGUCCGGAUUUAUUGGGCGUAAAGAGCGUGUAGGCGGCCUGAAAGGUCAGCUGUGAAAACUCGAGGCUCAACCUCGAGACGCCGAUGGAAACCCUCCAGCUAGAGUCCGGAAGAGGAGAGUGGAAUUCCUGGUGUAGCGGUGAAAUGCGCAGAUAUCAGGAAGAACACCCGUGGAUAAGGCGGCUCUCUAGUACGGUACUGACGCUGAGACGCGAAAGCGUGGGGAGCGAACAGG